rnacentral:rRNA from 1 species
AUUCCAGCUCCAAUAGCGUAUAUUAAAGUUGUUGCGGUUAAAAAGCUCGUAGUUGGAUUUCUGCCGAGGAUGACCGGUCCGCCCUGUGGGUGUGCAUCUGGCUCAGCCUUGGCAUCUUCCUGAAGAACGUAGCUGCACUUGACUGUGUGGUGCGGUAUUUAGGACAUUUACUUUGAGGAAAUUAGAGUGUUUCAAGCAAGCGCACGCUUUGAAUACAUUAGCAUGGAAUAAUAAGAUAGGACCUCGGUUCUAUUUUGUUGGUUUCUAGAGCUGAGGUAAUGAUUGAUAGGGAUAGUUGGGGGCAUUCGUAUUUAACUGUCAGAGGUGAAAUUCUUGGACCGUUUGAAGACAAGCUACUGCGAAAGCAUUUGCCAAGAAUGUUUUCAUUA